rnacentral:rRNA from 1 species
AGCAGGCGCGUAAAUUGCCCGAAUCCUGACACAGGGAGGUAGUGACAAGAAAUAACAAUACAGGGCUUCUAAAGUCUUGUAAUUGGAAUGAGUACAAUUUACAUCUCUUCACGAGGAUCAAUUGGAGGGCAAGUCUGGUGCCAGCAGCCGCGGUAAUUCCAGCUCCAAUAGCGUAUAUUAAAGUUGUUGCAGUUAGAACGCUCGUAGUCGGAUUUCGGGGCGGGGCGACCGGUCUGCCGAUGGGUACGCACUGGUCGGCGCGUCCUUCCUUCCGGAGACCGUGCCUACUCUUAACUGAGCGGGGGCGGGAGACGGAUCGUUUACUUUGAAAAAAUCAGAGUGUUUCAAGCAGGCAGCUCGCUCUUGCAUGGAUUAGCAUGGGAUAAUGAAAUAGGACUUUGGUGCUAUUUUGUUGGUUUCGAACACCGAAGUAAUGAUUAACAGGGACAGUCAGGGGCACUCGUAUUCCGCCGAGAGAGGUGAAAUUCUCAGACCAGCGGAAGACGAACUACUGCGAAAGCAUUUGCCAGGGAUGUUUUCACUGAUCAAGAACGAAAGUUAGGGGAUCGAAGAGGAUCAGAUACCCUCGUGGUCUUAACCAUAAACCAUGCCGACUAGGGAUUGGGGGAUGUUCACAUAUCGACUCCCUCAGCACCUUACGGGAAACUAAAGUCUUUGGGUUCCGGGGGGAGUAUGGUCGCAAGGCUGAAACUUAAAGGAAUUGACGGAAGGGCACCACCAGGUGUGGAGCCUGCGGCUUAAUUUGACUCAACACGGGGAAACUUACCAGGUCCAGACAUUGUGAGGAUUGACAGAUUGAGAGCUCUUUCUUGAUUCGAUGGGUGGUGGUGCAUGGCCGUUCUUAGUUGGUGGAGUGAUUUGUCUGGUUAAUUCCGUUAACGAACGAGACCUUAGCCUGCUAAAUAGUGACGCGAACACUUCGUUCGCGGGCCACUUCUUAGAGGGACAACUUGUCUUCAACAAGUGGAAGUUUGAGGCAAUAACAGGUCUGUGAUGCCCUUAGAUGUUCUGGGCCGUACGCGCGCUAUACUGAUGCACUCAACGAGUCUCGCCUUGACCGAAAGGUCCGGGAAACCUUCGAACUUGCAUCGUGAUGGGGAUAGAUUAUUGCAACUAUUAAUCUUCAACGAGGAAUACCUAGUAAGCGCAUGUCAUCAGCGCACGUUGA